rnacentral:misc_RNA from 1 species
UUUACUAUUCCUACUAGGUCUAAUCUCUCUCCUUCGUAGACGAUUGCCAUAUCCUCCAGGGCCUAAAGGCUUGCCAAUUAUAGGUAACCUGCUCAUGAUGGACCAGUUAACUCACCGGGGUUUAGCUAAACUAGCUAAAGAAUAUGGUGGCCUCUUCCAUCUUCGCAUGGGAAACAUUCACAUGUUUGCUGUUUCUUCUCCUGAGAUAGCUCGCCAAGUACUUCAAGUCCAAGAUAAUAUUUUCUCAAAUAGACCAGCCACCAUAGCCAUCAGUUAUCUCACAUAUGACCGUGCAGAUAUGGUGGCUGGGCUAUUU